rnacentral:lncRNA from 1 species
CCUGUCUCGUUCCUAAAGGCAGAGAUGAUCUCCGUCACUGCCAAACUGCCCACGUCCUCCUCGUCUCUCAUUCCUCUUGACCUCGUCAUGCUCAAAGGAUGACAACCCUGUCCAAGAGCAGAGAUGAGGCAGCCAAUGGAAACCUUCUGUCAACCCGCUGUGCUCUUCCCACCACAGCGAGCCAAGGAAGAUGUCCUCUGGGGUACCAUCGGGGUCAGGGCCCCUCUGACUCAACCCCCAGAUGACCUAACAAUAGCAAGAAGAGCACAGAACACUCCAGGAGUCAGAAAGCCUGCCCAUAAAUGCAGGGAGGAACAGCAGGGCAGGAUCAGGAGACUACAGCAGAUGACAGGCCACUAUGUCCCCAAUAAACGGGCAGAAUACUACAAUGGCGGAUCCCAGAGCAGGUUCUGAAGGGCACCAAGUCUACACGAGGAAAGUCUGCACAGGACAUAAGGGUACGGCAAACACUGGCAGUUAAAGAUUUCUGGAACAAAAUGAAGGCAUUUGGGUCCUAUAAAACUGAAGGCCCACUACUACAGCAUGAGAGCCGGAUCCCAGAGGAUGGUCUGAGCAGAGUAUCAGACACAGUGUACGCAUCUCCCCAGAGCUGUCCAGCCUCCUCUGCCCCCCGGGCCACGACCACUUCACCUUCUCGCACUGUUAGCUGUCUUGACCUCCCUCUUGGUGAAGCCCAGACUCUGCUAGAAGCAACAGCAGCUCAAGUGCCCAGAUAUAACCCAACCAGAUCCACAGAGCUCUAGCUUCUCCAGAGCUGCCCUCAGAAACCAGGUGACAAACCUAGAACUGCAAGGGAAUUAAUGCCCCUUGGGGCCAACAUUGAGAGGUCAGAGCACUUGAUUGCCGUUGCAAAACUCACCAGUGCUCUCUUUUCCCUCUGGAAUGGGGAUUGGCGACAUUCAAGAUGGUGACUGUCACAUCAGCCUGAGUCCUCAAGUAAGAAAAUGUGCAGCAAAGCACUCAGCUGACCUGCAAUGGACGUAUGAUAUGAGCAAGAAAUAAACCUUUGUUGUUUUAAGCCA